CACCCAUCGUCCAAUCCGUCGCCGCCAUGUCAUCCUAUAAUUUUUUUUGAGAGAUAGGUAAUAUGUCACCAGUUCUGUUUAUUUCAUUUAGAAAUAAACUUAAUUAGAAAUGUGAAUCAAUUAGGAUUCGAACUUAAAAUUUCAGAUAUUUACUAUCAAGUUUUUUGCCACUUGCGCUAGGGACGGUCGGUCCAUGUUAUCGUAUAAU
rnacentral:lncRNA from 1 species